CCACGUUGCAGAGGAAGAAGUCACAGCAAAGAGAGGAGCUCAUUCUUUCUAGAUGACUUUUAUACAAGACUCUGCUGUAAUUGACUGACAGGAAAAUAGACUCAUGGACCUGACAUCACCACCAUAACUAACACUUAGAUGAUUCAACCUGUCAGAGCCCUGAGGCUUGAGAGUUCCAGAAAAAUUCCUGCCCUGGAGCAUAGGACUUCUAAGGAGGGAGAUGCUAGGCCACGAACAGUUGUAGGUCCUUCUGGCCCUGCUAUGUGGGAUACCGCCUCAGCAUGGCUUGAUGAGCA